GGCUGGGUGGCGGGCGCGCGUGGCCGGCCCGUUUGAAAGCCGUGGGGGUAGAGGCUGUUCUGCACACAGCCACCCGGAGGCCCAGGCCACGGACAGUCUCAGAGCCGGCUAUCCCGGCCCGUCUCCGCGGUAACCGGCUGGCUGCAGAGGGCUGUGGGAAGUGUAGUUGGGCGGGGCCGGCCCGUGCGCAAGGUCUCUGCCUUUAGAGCUCGCUGCCGCUGUCAAGAGCGAUUUUCCGGCGUCCGGGCGAGCUCCUCCCGCUUUAUCUCGACCUCCGAGCACCCCGACAGGUGGGCAGCCGCCCAGAAAGAACGUUUCUGAAAUUAAGCUCAUGAGGAGUUUCUUUGAAAUGUAACCCUCCCACAGCACAAGUGAGCCUCCUUGGGAACUUCUCCAGUCAAGAAUGACCCUAGCAAUGAUGGGGGCUGUGUCCUUGGCCCUCCAGAUCCAGUCCCUUAGACCAGCAUCAGGGAACUUCCCAGAGGGGAGGCCGAGGAGCUGCCCUGCCCCAGAGAAGAGUUUCAAGCAGGAGAGAGAAGAGAGAAGUUGGGAAGGUGACCAGAGUGACCAGAACUGCCGGCCAGGGUCCAGUCUGGGCUCCUUCUGAGGGCCCUGGGUGACCUGGUCCCUCCUCGCCUCCCUCCGUGUCUCGCACUGGUUUCCUC